rnacentral:rRNA from 1 species
UACGAAGGGGGCUAGCGUUGCUCGGAAUCACUGGGCGUAAAGGGCGCGUAGGCGGGAUGGCAAGUCAGUCGUGAAAUCUCUCGGCUCAACCGAGAAACGUCGGCUGAUACUGCCGUUCUUGAGGGAUGCAGAGGAGACUGGAAUUCCCGGUGUAGCGGUGAAAUUCGUAGAUAUCAGGAGGAACACCAGUGGCGAAGGCGGCUUUCUGGACGGUAACUGACGCUGAGA